AAUAACAUUUAAUAACUGUGUAAUAAUUAUUUACAAUAAUAGACAUAUUUUUAAGAUUUAAACAAUAUACAAGAUAAAAUUGCUAAUUAAUAUAUGAAAACUAUUUUUUGAACCUGUUCCUUUUAAAAAGUAAAUAAUAAUAAACAUCAAUAUAUUUAUUUUCUCGGUACAUGUAUGUAUACAGGAUGAUCUCUAAUUUAUGUAUAUAACUUGUAUAAGCCGUAUCACCCUAGUCUUGUACACAGAAAUUUAUAUGAGGCCAUUGAAGAGCCUAGUUUUAAAAGUAUCUUAUAAUGACAUACAUCGGUUUGAUGUGCUGUUUUUAUAUUACUAGUAAUUUUCACAAAAUACCCACUAAAUAACAAAAUUAUUCUUUUUUAUUCUACAACUCAGUAAAUAAAAAUAUAUAAAUUACACGUUAUACUUACUUUUUGAAAUAAAUUACACUUAGCAUUAGUAUAAAAUAUAGCAAUUUUUCUGAAACUUCAAAUAAAAAUAAUUAUUGACUAUAUAAAAGUAUUAUUUUUGUUUCAAGUUAAGAACUAACAUAAGCUUGAAUAUUUUUAAUCAUAUACAAUAUAAAACAAUAUACUGCCAUCCUAUACAAGCAAUGAAAUGAUUUGAAGACUUGAAUCUGACUUGAAUGUUCUAAGACUUUAUUGAAACUUGACUUGAAUGUUCUAAGUGCAAAAAUCUGACUUUUCUGAUGAUUUUUUUUAUCGUAAACCGUUUCAAAGUUAUGGCACUUUUAAUGGAAAAGGAUUUUUUUACGUGUUAUUUAAAUAGAAAACUUUGAAUGUUCACCGACACCUUUUAAAAGCGAGCUAAAAUCCUGCCUUCCAGGGAUAUUUUUUUCUAGGAUAUUAAGUUUAUUUUAACCUUUGAAUAAGAAGACUAAGGAAGGAGCAUAAUGCUAUCCAUGUAUUCAUGCAUGGUGGGCGGAAAACAAGGUUAUUAGAUUCUACAGGUUACCUCAGUCGACAGAUUUUAGGCGAGAGGUGCGCGGAGGACGGCGGGUGUGCGUGACGUAGUUCUGAGACCCGCCGUAUCUCUUUUUAAUACCUUCCAUUUCUUUCUUUCUCGUACGGUUUAAUGGCAAUGGCCGUUGGUUUGGUAGUGGUUUUGUAUCGUUUUUGUAUUAUUUCUUUAUUUUCUAAUAUUUCUUUAAGUGUUACUGGUUAAAUUAAUUGUGGUCUGUGAACUACACAUAUUUAAGUAGUUUGUGGACAAUUUAUUAUUUGCGUAGAUCUCAGGAACUGGUAAUUAAGUGAGUAUAAUUACUUAUAUAAAUGUUCAGCCUAGAGAAACGUUUAUCGGCAUGUUUAUACUAAUUUUUAAUAACUAUUUUUUUUGAAAAAAAACAAUAAGAUUUAAUAUUUUUAGGAUGCUGUGAACUCGGUGUACAGUUACUACUUGUCAAAAUAGCCUAGAAAAGGCUAAAAAUUUGGAAAAAUUAUUAAAUUUCAUGCUUUCCCGAAGAAUACCGAAAUUACUGAAAUAUGGGUGCAGAUUCAAAGCGUGUAGAGUUGUAGAGAUGGAAAAUGGAAUGUAGAAACUUGUAGGAUUUGUUCAGAUCAUUUUACCGAUGACGAUUAUGAAAGAGAUCUUCAAGUAAGAGGAAUUAUUAGGACUUGGAAACUAAGAAAAACAUUAAAAGCAAUUGUUAUAUAGGUAUGAGUAGAAUCUUAUGUAAAAGUAAAAAACAGUCAGUCCACCUGACAAAAUUGAUCCAUUGAGGCAAAAACGAGUUGAACAAAGAAGAACACAAGUGGCGGUGGAGGAAUUACUAAUGAAAAAUUUCGAGGAAAGCAAUGUAAAUGUUGCCGAGGAACACAGUACCGUAGCAUCUGGAGCUGUUAUUACUUGUGUUGGUCAUCCAAUGUAUGAUGAAUUAUUGUUAAAAUAUAAUGAAUUGAAAACUAUCCUUUCUCUAAAGGAAGAAUUAUUGAUGGCAGAGGACCAAAAAAUUAAGAAAUAACAAAAACAACUUUUAAAAUCUCAACUACACUUGAAGCAGAAAAGUCCUAUAAAACAGUAGAAUACUAAGCCGGUUAGUUUAUUUAUAAAUUUUAAAUUCAACUUUUGUUCUAAAUUUAAACUUUAAGUUUAAAGAAAAUAAACAAGAAAUGCUAAGAAUUUUUUUUUACAAUGUAAACUAUUUUUAUUUAUAUACAUAUUUAGAAAUUAAUUAUACAAACCAUGUCGUAAAAUUGGUAUUUCUGAAUUGUUUAAAACUAUUUGUACUAAAUUUGCAUAUACAUCAUUUAUAUUACAAAUAAAUAAUUUAUUGCUUUGAUUAGGUACUUUGAUUUAUUUAUUUCAAUAACUAUACAAAUUCAUAUAUUACUAAAUAAAAAUGUAAGGGUAUUGAUAAUAAUUUCCAAAUAUUAAAUUUUAUUUAUUGUAUCUAUUUUUAUAAAUAUAUACCAAAAUAUUUAUGAAAAAGAAAAUCAAGAUUUAUUCACGAUAAGAUCCUUUUACAAAAUCUUCAAAAUUAAUUAACUUUUUACGUUUUAAUACAUUUACACAUUUCAUUUAAAUUAUAUGAAAAUAAUUUAAUUUUUUACAUUUUAGAAAAAAAUAUAAAACAUUACAAAAUAAUACCAAUCUUUUUGAAUUUUGCAUUAUUUUAAAGAGACGACAAAAUACAAAUUUAAACUGUUAGUACGAGAGAGACAAAA